CUCGAAAGAGAACCGGCGCACAGGUGCUGCAUGGCUGUCGUCAGCUCGUGUCGUGAGAUGUUGGGUUAAGUCCCGCAACGAGCGCAACCCUUGUCCUUAGUUGCUACGCAAGAGCACUCUAAGGAGACUGCCGGUGACAAACCGGAGGAAGGUGGGGAUGACGUCAAGUCCUCAUGGCCCUUAUGGGUAGGGCUUCACACGUCAUACAAUGGUCGGAACAGAGGGUUGCCAACCCGCGAGGGGGAGCUAAUCCCAGAAAACCGAUCGUAGUCCGGAUUGCACUCUGCAACUCGAGUGCAUGAAGCUGGAAUCGCUAGUAAUCGCGGAUCAGCAUGCCGCGGUGAAUACGUU
rnacentral:rRNA from 1 species